UACGUAGGGUGCGAGCGUUUAAUCGGAAUUACUGGGCGUAAAGCGUGCGCAGGCGGUUGUGCAAGACAGAUGUGAAAUCCCCGGGCUUAACCUGGGAACUGCAUUUGUGACUGCAUGGCUAGAGUGUGUCAGAGGGGGGUAGAAUUCCACGUGUAGCAGUGAAAUGCGUAGAGAUGUGGAGGAACACCGAUGGCGAAGGCAGCCCCCUGGGUUAACACUGACGCUCAGGCACGAAAGCGUGGGGAGCAAACAGG
rnacentral:rRNA from 1 species